rnacentral:rRNA from 1 species
GACGUAGGGCGCAAGCGUUGUCCGGAUUUAUUGGGCGUAAAGGGCUCGUAGGCGGUUUGUCGCGUCGGGAGUGAAACACCGGGCUUAACUCGGUGCUUGCUUUCGAUACGGGCAGACUAGAGGCAUGCAGGGGAGAACGGAAUUCCUGGUGUAGCGGUGAAAUGCGCAGAUAUCAGGAGGAACACCGGUGGCGAAGGCGGGUCUCUGGGCCGAUACUGACGCUGGAGGAGCGAAAGCGUGGGAGCGAACAGG